rnacentral:rRNA from 1 species
GAUGAACGCUGGCGGCGUGCCUAAUACAUGCAAGUCGAGCGAACGGACGAGAAGCUUGCUUCUCUGAUGUUAGCGGCGGACGGGUGAGUAACACGUGGAUAACCUACUUAUAAGACUGGGAUAACUUCGGGAAACCGGAGCUAAUACCGGAUAAUAUUUUGAACCGCAUGGUUCAAAAGUGAAAGACGGUCUUGCUGUCACUUAUAGAUGGAUCCGCGCUGCAUUAGCUAGUUGGUAAGGUAACGGCUUACCAAGGCAACGAUGCAUAGCCGACCUGAGAGGGUGAUCGGCCACACUGGAACUGAGACACGGUCCAGACUCCUACGGGAGGCAGCAGUAGGGAAUCUUCCGCAAUGGGCGAAAGCCUGACGGAGCAACGCCGCGUGAGUGAUGAAGGUCUUCGGAUCGUAAAACUCUGUUAUUAGGGAAGAACAUAUGUGUAAGUAACUGUGCACAUCUUGACGGUACCUAAUCAGAAAGCCACGGCUAACUACGUGCCAGCAGCCGCGGUAAUACGUAGGUGGCAAGCGUUAUCCGGAAUUAUUGGGCGUAAAGCGCGCGUAGGCGGUUUUUUAAGUCUGAUGUGAAAGCCCACGGCUCAACCGUGGAGGGUCAUUGGAAACUGGAAAACUUGAGUGCAGAAGAGGAAAGUGGAAUUCCAUGUGUAGCGGUGAAAUGCGCAGAGAUAUGGAGGAACACCAGUGGCGAAGGCGACUUUCUGGUCUGUAACUGACGCUGAUGUGCGAAAGCGUGGGGAUCAAACAGGAUUAGAUACCCUGGUAGUCCACGCCGUAAACGAUGAGUGCUAAGUGUUAGGGGGUUUCCGCCCCUUAGUGCUGCAGCUAACGCAUUAAGCACUCCGCCUGGGGAGUACGACCGCAAGGUUGAAACUCAAAGGAAUUGACGGGGACCCGCACAAGCGGUGGAGCAUGUGGUUUAAUUCGAAGCAACGCGAAGAACCUUACCAAAUCUUGACAUCCUUUGACAACUCUAGAGAUAGAGCCUUCCCCUUCGGGGGACAAAGUGACAGGUGGUGCAUGGUUGUCGUCAGCUCGUGUCGUGAGAUGUUGGGUUAAGUCCCGCAACGAGCGCAACCCUUAAGCUUAGUUGCCAUCAUUAAGUUGGGCACUCUAAGUUGACUGCCGGUGACAAACCGGAGGAAGGUGGGGAUGACGUCAAAUCAUCAUGCCCCUUAUGAUUUGGGCUACACACGUGCUACAAUGGACAAUACAAAGGGCAGCGAAACCGCGAGGUCAAGCAAAUCCCAUAAAGUUGUUCUCAGUUCGGAUUGUAGUCUGCAACUCGACUACAUGAAGCUGGAAUCGCUAGUAAUCGUAGAUCAGCAUGCUACGGUGAAUACGUUCCCGGGUCU